GCUGGCGGCAGGCCUAACACAUGCAAGUCGAGCGGUAGCACAGAGAGCUUGCUCUCGGGUGACGAGCGGCGGACGGGUGAGUAAUGUCUGGGAAACUGCCUGAUGGAGGGGGAUAACUACUGGAAACGGUAGCUAAUACCGCAUAACGUCGCAAGACCAAAGUGGGGGACCUUCGGGCCUCAUGCCAUCAGAUGUGCCCAGAUGGGAUUAGCUAGUAGGUGGGGUAACGGCUCACCUAGGCGACGAUCCCUAGCUGGUCUGAGAGGAUGACCAGCCACACUGGAACUGAGACACGGUCCAGACUCCUACGGGAGGCAGCAGUGGGGAAUAUUGCACAAUGGGCGCAAGCCUGAUGCAGCCAUGCCGCGUGUGUGAAGAAGGCCUUCGGGUUGUAAAGCACUUUCAGCGGGGAGGAAGGCGGUGAGGUUAAUAACCUCGUCGAUUGACGUUACCCGCAGAAGAAGCACCGGCUAACUCCGUGCCAGCAGCCGCGGUAAUACGGAGGGUGCAAGCGUUAAUCGGAAUUACUGGGCGUAAAGCGCACGCAGGCGGUCUGUCAAGUCGGAUGUGAAAUCCCCGGGCUCAACCUGGGAACUGCAUUCGAAACUGGCAGGCUAGAGUCUUGUAGAGGGGGGUAGAAUUCCAGGUGUAGCGGUGAAAUGCGUAGAGAUCUGGAGGAAUACCGGUGGCGAAGGCGGCCCCCUGGACAAAGACUGACGCUCAGGUGCGAAAGCGUGGGGAGCAAACAGGAUUAGAUACCCUGGUAGUCCACGCCGUAAACGAUGUCGAUUUGGAGGUUGUGCCCUUGAGGCGUGGCUUCCGGAGCUAACGCGUUAAAUCGACCGCCUGGGGAGUACGGCCGCAAGGUUAAAACUCAAAUGAAUUGACGGGGGCCCGCACAAGCGGUGGAGCAUGUGGUUUA
rnacentral:rRNA from 1 species